rnacentral:rRNA from 1 species
AUGCCACCGAAGAAGAAGGAUUCGGAGGCAGCUGUUCCGUCUGCGUCGCUUUCACCGCUUUCGGAGCAAACGGGUGGUGGAGUGGACGCCGGCGGAAGAAUGGGUGUCGAUGAGGGAGCCCUCAGUGUGGCCAAGUCCAAGGACAAGGCGGCACAGACCUCGGCGUCCAUGCGCGCACCGCGCCCCUCUCAGGAGGCGCGGGACCAGCAGCGUCAUGGUGUUCGUAGCGCCAUACGUCCGCUGGGCCAAGAUCAAGCUGGUGGUUCUCGUGGCGCUCAAGACCAACAUGCACGUCAACAUGGUGGCUCGAGCAAAGUACGGUGGCCUGGACGGGGCACUGCUCCUUCUAACGUGGUUAGAAGU